CUACAAUUCGAAUAAUCCUCUAAACAAUGAUUAAUGAAUAGAUCAAUUAUAAUGUGCUAAAUUUUAAAGUAAUCAUAUAUCCAACGUAUGAAGGAAGGUUUCUAAUUUAGAAUCAAAUAGUUGCUCGCUUACCCGAGAUUUUACCAUUACCGCACAUGUGUAUCAAUACGUCGGGCUAACACCACCCCUGUUAGCUAGAAAAAUAAAACCGGCUA
rnacentral:lncRNA from 1 species